GGGAAGGCAGCAACCUUUCAGCCUGCUGUGCCUCUCCAUCUGCACGAACCGUGUGUCAACGAAGGUGGGUUACGGCAAAGUCCUGGCUGGAAUGUGGCAUUAGGGAGAAAUGGGCCAUGGCUGCCGGCUUAACCUGGUGUGGUUACAUGAAAACCAUGCAACCUUUCAGAGGCCCAUUCAGCUCUAUUCUGGCUCUUCUCCAGGGCACUCUGCUCCACAGUCUCAAGAGGAACAUGCUUACAGAGGACGGUCAGAAAGCAAGAUGGAUGAGCAUGCCAAGGGUAAAUGUGAAUUUACCACAGUGAGAAAGAACAGUUUCCCAGGCUAGAGAAAAACCAAGACAGACACUGUGCAUUGCUCUGGACAGCGUGCCGACUGUUCCAACAAUCCACCCACCAAAAAGCAAACAUUAGCACAAGCCAGCGCCGAAAGAGCCCCCCUGGUAUGUGGAGAGCUGAUGACUGCGGAAUAAGACGAAUACUUGACGAAGACGAAGUAGAAACAUUAAUGUCCUCUUAAAUAAAUCUGGCAGAAUAAUA